rnacentral:tRNA from 1 species
GAGAGUAUAGCUCAGAGGUAGAGUGUGUGCUUAGCGUGCACAAGGUCCUGGGUUCAAUCCCCAGUACCUCCA